rnacentral:rRNA from 1 species
AGUGAACGCUGGCGGUAGGCCUAACACAUGCAAAUCGAACGGCAGCACAGUAAGAGCUUGCUCUUACGGGUGGCGAGUGGCGGACGGGUGAGGAAUACAUCGGAAUCUACUUUUUCGUGGGGGAUAACGUAGGGAAACUUACGCUAAUACAGCAUACGACCUACGGGUGAAAGCAGGGGAUCUUCGGACCUUGCGCGAUUGAAUGAGCCGAUGUGGGAUUGGCUAGUUGGGGGGGUAAAGGCCCACCAAGGCGACGAUCCGUAGCUGGUCUGGGAGGAUGGUCAGCCACACGGGAACUGAGACACGGUCCAGACUCCUACGGGAGGCAGCAGUGGGGAAUAGUGGACAAUGGGCGCAAGCCUGAUCCAGCCAUACCGCGUGGGUGAAGAAGGCCUUCGGGUUGUAAAGCCCUUUUGUUGGGAAAGAAAAGCAGCAGGUUAAUACCCCGCUGUUCUGACGGUACCCAAAGAAUAAGCACCGGCUAACUUCGUG